GGAGGAGGAGAUUAUAUCUGAGGUUAGAGGCAGGAAAAGAGAGUCAGGAGGAGUUUGGUGGGGCCUUGCUGACUCAGGAGAAGAGCAGGAGUUUACUCCUGUAAAGUCCAACAACUCCUGGGACCGUUGGAAACACCCACCGCUUGAGCGGGUCCAGCAGCCCACCUAUCACCUACUUCCAGGAUGGCGGGGCUGUGUGUCUCGCCCUCCGAGUAGAGCCUCCCAUGACCAGCUGCCUGCACUGACCCCACUGGUGGUCUAGCUGGCGAAGUCCUUCUGCCUUGAAGCCUCGCUCAGUCCGUCCAAAGCAUCCAUGAGAAUGAAGAAGACCUUGUCAACAGUCACGACACAGGGUUCAAACCUGCACUCCCUGCAUUGGAAGGCGAAGUCUCAACCACUGGACCACCAGGGAAGUCCCACAGACGUUUGUUUUUAAUGCUGCAGAUACUGAAGCCUGAGUGUCCUAGAGACCGUGCUUCGCAACUAGAGGACCCACUGCAUUGAGAAGCCCUCACACUGCAGUUGGAAAGUGGUACUUGCUCCCCGCAUCUAGAG
ensembl:lncRNA